AAAGAAAUUGUGGGGGUCAAUUUUUUCUCAUUUCAGAUUUCAGAAAUUAAAAAGAAUUAUUCUUCAAAUAUUAUUUUUUUUCAAAUUUCAAAUAUUGAAAAAUUUCAAGAAGGAAUCUUUAAUUGCACAGUAUUGCGCAUUAGAUUUGUAAAAUCUUUGACCACAUUAAUUAAUUUGUUAUGCCGAAUCUAACCAUGUAUUUAGAUUUUUAUACGACCGCAAAAAAAUUUUUGUGGUCGUAUAUUGGUAUGACGUUGGCGUCGUCGUCGUCGUCGUCGCCGGCGUCGUCGUCGUCCGGCGUCGUCGUCCGAAUACACAUUAGUUUUCGCACUCUAACUUUAGUUUAAGUGAAUGGAUCUCAAUGAAAUUUUACCAUAAGGUUCAAUACCACAAAAGGAAGGUGGGGAUUGAUUUUGGGGGUUAUGGUACUAACAGUUAAGGAAUUAGGGGCCAAAAGGGGCCAAAAAUAAGCAUUUUUGUAACUUACAGACAUAACUUGUGUGUAAGUGUAUGGAUCUCUCUGACAUUGUACCACAAGGUUCCAUAUCACAAAGGGAAUGCUGGGAUUGAUUUUGGGGGUAAUUGCCUUCAAAUUUUAGGAAUUGGGGGCCAAAAAGGGGCAAAAAACAAGCAUUUUUCUAGUUUCAUGACAAUAUCUUGUUUGUAAGUGUAUGGAUCUUUAUGAAAUUGUACUACAAGGUUCCAUAUCACAAAGGGAAGGCUGGGAUUGAUUUUGGGGGUUUUCCCUCAAAAUUUUAGUAAUUAGGGGCCAUAAAAGGGCAAAAAAAACAUGCAUUUUUCUAGUUUCAGGACAAUAACUUGUGUGUAAGUGUAUGGAUCUUUAUGAAAUUGUACUGCAAGGUUCCAUAUCACAAAGGGAAAGCUGGAAUUGAGUUUGGGGGUAAUUGCCCUAAACGUUUAGGAAUUUGGGGCCAAAAAGGGGCCAAAAAACAAGCAUUUUUCUAGUUUCCAGACAAUAACUUGUGUUCAAGUGUAUGAAUCUCUCUGAAAUUGUACUGCAAGGUACCAUACCACAAAGGGAAAGCUGGGAUUGAGUUUGGGGGUGAUGAAUCAUAAGGGGGUUCAAAAAAUUGGGGGGGAUUUUUUUUUCCUUUUUUUUCUUUAACAUUUUCCAUUUUAAAUUGGUUAUUUCUGAUUUAUAUAUAAAAGCAAAUAAUAAUGAUAUGGUUUGAAUAGGCAUACAUGUGAACCUCCCGACGGGAGUACAAUAAUCCCGUUUUCAGGGGUCUCCUCCCGACCUCCCGUUGAAGAGGAAAAAAUCCUGUGUAUGAAAUUUUUCAUGAAUGAAAAAUUUCUGCCCAACAUAUCACCUCAGGCAUCUGGUGUAACUGACAUUACCUGAAGUUAUAUUUUACCUGUAAAUCAAUUAACAUGCAUAAUUAUAUGGCUUCACUUGUCAGCUUGGGUGUCAAACAUACAGGUAAUCAACGAUUUUUACCUCAGGCUAACUGCCGUUGUGUAACAAAAACUGUGUAUUUAUUGGGUUACUUCCCUUGAUUUAUCCUGUUUUAAGUUACUUUCCUUUUAAUAAUGAAAAUUUUUAAAAGAAUAUAAAUAAAAUAUAAAUUGAACAAAUAAUCAUAAAAGGAUGGUUAUUAAAUGAUUUUAAAUGUCUUAGGACAAAUAAAAAAAUAAUAAUUUGAAAAUUAUUUGAGGAUUCUAGACUUCCUUUCAAGGCUUAAAUUGAAAUUUAUAUAAUAACUAUGACCCUCAUUUUACAGAUAAAAUGAUUUUCUGAGU